rnacentral:lncRNA from 1 species
UUUUUCCCUGAAGAUGAUGCCUGUUAUCUAUUUGUACAUAUACUGAAUAAUUUUAGAAAACAAAUCUCUGCUUCAGAAUUUUUAAUGACAGUUUUUCCUUGCAUUGACCAAAUAUAAAACCUGCUUUAUGCUUAAUAGAGCUCUCUCAUACAUUUCCGAAGAGAAAAAAGAAAAAGGCUGCUGUACCUCACUUCUCACUGUAUUUAGCCUGAUAAUUCGCAGUGUUGGAAAAACUGAGCCAUCUCUCUGGUGAAAUGUUUCCAGCUGCUGUGGUAGUGGUAUAGUUCUCAGCUUUGGAACAAGAAAGUAUCAGUCUUUGCUAUAGUGUGAUUGUAAAGUGAUAAAGAAUUAGAAGUAGUAUUUUAUUAAAUAGUAAUUGAAUUUUACAUUAGUAAUGCUGUAGCAUGUGCCUGGUACUCCUAAAGCAGAAGGACUGCUCACUCGGGAGCAACUUGAUUGUAUCCUGUCAUCAGUUCUCCUAUCAUUAUGAGAGGAAAAGAAACUUUAGCAAAAACAGUUUUUGAAAUGUAGUUUGGUUUCCUGACUACAACCAAACUGUAAAGUGUGUACAGUUCUGCUUUAGUUGACAUUUCUAGUUUGAAAAAGAAAUUCUAGAAUAAUUUCUUUAUUACAUGUUUGAGAUAGUAAUGGAGAAAAGAUGAUAAAUUAUGGCUUUUGAGACUGUUGUUGUGGAGAGCAGUUUCACUGGCUUCAAUAGUUUUCCUCCUAGUUACGCAGACAGUGAGGAGAAAUGUCAUGCACCAGUCCAUCUGAGCCAUCACUACGAUUUCAGUGGUCCAUCUUUCACAGUCCAGUUCAUAACAGAAUUAGGAACUGCACCGCUGUGUCUGCUGCCUUCUGCAUUACUGUUUUCAUAAUUUCCCUCAGCAGGUGAGCAGACAUCCCCUUGGGUCUCAUGGUGGGAGGGUACUGAGCCUGCUGAGGUUGCUGGGACCAGGGAGGGGGACAACCCUCUAAGCAGCUUCCCUGGGACAAGACCACGAGCUACAAGUGAGAGGCAGGAAGAAUUACGGGGUUUACCUCUCCUUCUCUCUCCCCUCCUUUCUCCUGAAGCUAACACAGUGGUAAAGAAAAUGCACUAUUUUUAGUAAACUUCAUGUCUUUUAUAACAUUGCCUCCUCCUUGGAAUUGAGUUCCAAUGGAUAGUCUAAUAAUGUGCCUGUAAGCAUUACUGCUUUCUUGAAUUAUUUGUGCCAUUGCACUGGCAUUGUGACUGUCUAAACAUCAUGAAAUUGGUGUUCAUAGCUGUUCUUGCAGCAAACGCCAGUUACCAGUUUACUUUUCUCACCAAGCUGGUUUAAGAAAUUCUGGUGCGCUUCAGGCCAUUUCUUCCCUUUCUGUGCGUGUCUCUGUGCCAGUGCAACUGUCUGUAGUUCUGUGCAAAAUACUGGAUCAGUGAAAAAACCGCUUGGUGUUUAGUGUUCGGAGGUGUCUUGUAAGUGUAUUCAUCUGAGUGAGCCAGUUUCCAGUGUGGUCCAAAAAGUUAUAACUGAGGAAGGAGUAAACUGCAGAAAAGGCAGUUUGGCAGCGGGGAAAUGUCUUAAACGGACUCGGUCACAGGAGAAAACAUUUGUGGAAGUUCAUCCCUCUGCUGUGAAGUCCUUAUCAUGGUUAGAAGAUGGUUUUCUUUUCUCAAGCAGGUAGUUAGUUACUUUCUGUAAUGAAAAUGGGUUUGUAUCUUAAUAAAAUUCAUGUUCUGUCUGCCUGUUCCACAGUUGUUGAAAUAGAAUAGCUUUUAAGAUUCAUUUCAUUUAGCCUAAAUAGUAUAAAAUGGCUGCAGUGUGUAACUACUCCAUUUUAUAUAUUAUGUAAAAAAAGAUUGUUUCCCAUGUAAAUAAACUUUAAAGAUUAUCCUCCUUCAUACUAAGUAUCCCAGUAAAACUGGUCUAUUUGUCUUGGAGUAAAGUAUAAUAUAUUACUGGUUAAAGUAAUUUAAUCAAGCCUGCUUUACCAUUUGUGAAGUGUGCAGAGAAAAUAAUGUCAAUUCUUCAUUAAAUUGACUGUUAAAAUUGCCGUUUUAUCUGAGCAUAUUUCUCCUCUGCCUGCAUUGUAUUAUGGUAUAUCCUGUUUUACACUAUAACUGGUCUUUAGCCAAUGUGUUGAAAACAAAAAAAGGGUCCUGUAAAGGCAUCACUGCAGUUCCAUAAAAGCAAAACUGUUUGCUUUUUUUAAGGACACGUGCAAGUACUGAAAUAUUAAAUAUUCUGCAAUUUUUAAAGAAAUACAGGGAGACCUCUCACCUGUAGAAUUUGGUAGGUGCUUCUGGCAUUUUCUGUUACCUUGUGUUAGAAGUCGUAGUAUACCUUGUUUGAAUUUUGCCACCUAUAUGCUGCAAUAUUGUAUAUUUUCUUGCAGAAAUGUAGUGUGUGACAGUCCAAGUUCUCUGAGAAAGUUAGUUCUACAUAAAUGUUGUCACAACUGUCCAACAUGCUCUGCCUGACCCAUGUUUUGAAACUUCUCGUUUCAUACGUAGAUUCAGAGUCUGUUGAGAUUCUUCAUAGCUGCUGCUUAAAACAUGGGUGUUUCACUGGUGACCUAUGAUGGGGAUUGGUUUGUACAGGCAGGUGAGCAAAGAGGCUCUUAACCAGCAGCUGUGGAAUUCUGCAGUAAGUUUUAGUUCAGGUUACUUUCACUUUGUAUAGCAUGAAAGCAAAUUUCUUUUAUGUGCCCUUGUAUACAUAUUAAUUGUAUUUAUAAAGUAUUCUAUAAUCCUGUAACUGUACUGUAAAUACUACUUGAUACUCAGUGGCAUUCUAUCGUAGGGCAGGCCCUCUUGCUGUGUCUUUUCUAUCCUCGAUUUGUAAUAGAAUCUAUAGGAUAUAUGGCUAGAAAGUCUCUUUGAGACUGAUGUUAUCUUCUGCUGUUGCAAAGCUGUGAGUGGAAAUGAUUUAUUUAGACUCCUUUUAGUAGUAUUCAGCUAACAGGCAGUGCAGUGGGUGGGUUCUUAGACGAUGCUGCUGCCACCCAAGAUACUAUUAGGCUUUGGUUUCAGGUGUCUUUGGUGUUUCAGAUCAGACCUUAAAAUCUGUUUGCUUUAAUUCAACCAAAGCAAAAAGAUGAUAAAUUGGGUCAGUGUUGUAGUAAAAUGUUUGAAUGCCUUAAGAUGCUCUUGAUAAAGGCACUAUUCAAGUUUACUGAUUUAUAUAUAUCUAUAUAAAUAUAUAUAGAUAUAUUCCAUGUGUGUAUAUGUAUAUAUAAUGUCUUUUUUGUAUUAUAAAUAUCCUUCUGACUAUCGGUUCUUUUGGAUUCUCCAAUUAAAUACAUAGACCAUCGCAC